CCCACCCCCGUGGGUGCAACCACCGGUUGUAACAGCUGGAAGCCUGGGAACUUCGUUGUCUAGAAGUUCUACCAGGAGUUUCCACUUUAGGUUCCACGAACCAGAAACACCUGCUUGAGUCUUGGAGGCAAGAAAAGCAGCAGAAGCCACAUUACUGCUACUCCGGCAUCGGUGGGCAUACGUCCCGGCAUCAGCAGGGAUCCUACCCGGGCCUCUGGGCAUUUUCCUAUCUCACCUUGCACAGAGUGGUCCCGCCCGGGGGGUUUCACAGCAUCCUCAGCAUCACCUGGGGACUUGCAGCAAUGCCAGUUCUUAGACCACUCUCCAGUCUUACGCAUUCAGAAGCUGCAGAGUAAAGAAGAGCUAUCCCGGCUGAUGUGGGCAGACUUCAUCCAAACAGCUGGAAGGCCUUAA
rnacentral:lncRNA from 1 species